rnacentral:rRNA from 1 species
ACUCCUACGGGAGGCAGCAGUGGGGAAUUUUGGACAAUGGGGGCAACCCUGAUCCAGCCAUGCCGCGUGCGGGAAGAAGGCCUUCGGGUUGUAAACCGCUUUUGUCAGGGAAGAAAUGUCCUGGGUUAAUAACCUGGGGGGAUGACGGUACCUGAAGAAUAAGCACCGGCUAACUACGUGCCAGCAGCCGCGGUAAUAC